AUUGAACGCUGGCGGCAUGCCUUACACAUGCAAGUCGAACGGUAACAGGUCUUCGGAUGCUGACGAGUGGCGAACGGGUGAGUAAUACAUCGGAACGUGCCCGAUCGUGGGGGAUAACUACUCGAAAGAGUAGCUAAUACCGCAUACGAUCUACGGAUGAAAGCGGGGGAUCUUCGGACCUCGUGCGGACGGAGCGGCCGAUGGCAGAUUAGGUAGUUGGUGGGAUAAAAGCUUACCAAGCCGACGAUCUGUAGCUGGUCUGAGAGGACGACCAGCCACACUGGGACUGAGACACGGCCCAGACUCCUACGGGAGGCAGCAGUGGGGAAUUUUGGACAAUGGGCGAAAGCCUGAUCCAGCAAUGCCGCGUGCAGGAUGAAGGCCUUCGGGUUGUAAACUGCUUUUGUACGGAACGAAAAGACUCCUUCUAAUACAGGGGGUCCAUGACGGUACCGUAAGAAUAAGCACCGGCUAACUACGUGCCAGCCGCCGCCGUAA
rnacentral:rRNA from 1 species